UUUAGCACUAAAUUCUUCCCAAGCCUAUAUAUGAGGGAGAAAUUCUUCAACACAAUAUUUGGGAUUUAAAACAGUGCCCAUGUGCAUAUGUGCAUAUGUGUCAGUGUGUCUAUGUGCAUAUAUGUUGCAGCAUCAGAGAGAAAUAAGUGAUGUUAUUUCUUUUUAGGAAUUCGAUGCUCCCAUUCCCUGAAAUCAUUGCACCUCCAGGCAAAUUAAGAGAAACAAGAAAAGCAGGAUUUGGAAAUAACCUAACACAGCCCUCCAUCUAGGGGAAGAAACAGUGUCUAGAAUAGAAGAAUGUGAAGGAAGAGAAUACUGAAGCCUAUUAUCACCAUCACAGCUCCAUCCAAAUAUAGUCAAAACCAGCAAAAAUG
ensembl:lncRNA